rnacentral:rRNA from 1 species
AUGGAAAAAAUGAAGGACGCGCCGGUACCAGAAGGUGAAGAGCCAAAGUCUACUGUUGAAAUUGUCGAAGAAGUGCUGUUGAAAUCUGUCAAGCAAAGCACAUUCCUCACGAAUGUUGGGCUCCAGUCAUCUAGGAACAACUCUGGCAAAGCAACUGCUGAAGUGGCUGCUCAUGUUCGUGACCUUGGGCAGAAGCUGGAGAGGUCCGAGCUUCAAGCUGAAGUGAUGCAAGAAGAAUUGGCGGCAAUCAAGAUGAAGGCGGAAGAAUCUAAAGCUGCACGCGACAAGGAACUUGAGCUGUUGCGCAAGAAGUCUCAAGAACAGGAAGAGAAGUUAGCCCACUUGAUGGCUCUCUUUGGAGCUAAGGUAGUUUGA